CCUACGGGGGGCAGCAGUGGGGAAUUUUCCGCAAUGGGCGAAAGCCUGACGGAGCAAUACCGCGUGAGGGAGGAAGGCUUUUGGGUUGUAAACCUCUUUUCUCAGGGAAGAAAAUUUGACGGUACCUGAGGAAUAAGCAUCGGCUAACUCCGUGCCAGCAGCCGCGGUAAUACGGAGGAUGCAAGCGUUAUUCGGAAUUAUUGGGCGUAAAGCGUCCGCAGGUGGUUUUUCAAGUCUGCUGUCAAAGACCGAAGCUUAACUUCGGGUAGGCGGUGGAAACUGAGAGACUAGAGUACGGUAGGGGUAGAGGGAAUUUCCAGUGUAGCGGUGAAAUGCGUAGAGAUUGGAAAGAACACCAGUGGCGAAGGCGCUCUACUGGACCGUAACUGACACUCAGGGACGAAAGCUAGGGUAGCGAAAGGGAUUAGAUACCCCUGUAGUCCUAGCUGUAAACGAUGGAUACUAGGCGUUGCUUGUAUCGACCCGAGCAGUGCCGUAGCUAACGCGUUAAGUAUCCCGCCUGGGGAGUACGCACGCAAGUGUGAAACUCAAAGGAAUUGACGGGGGCCCGCACAAGCGGUGGAGUAUGUGGUUUAAUUCGAUGCAACGCGAAGAACCUUACCAGGGCUUGACAUCCCGCGAAUCUUUAUGAAAGUAGAGAGUGCCUUAGGGAACGCGGAGACAGGUGGUGCAUGGCUGUCGUCAGCUCGUGUCGUGAGAUGUUGGGUUAAGUCCCGCAACGAGCGCAACCCUCGUCCUUAGUUGCCAGCAUUAAGUUGGGCACUUUAGGGAGACUGCCGGUGACAAACCGGAGGAAGGUGGGGAUGACGUCAAGUCAGCAUGCCCCUUACGCUCUGGGCUACACACGUACUACAAUGGUCAGGACAAAGGGCAGCAAGCUCGCAAGAGCAAGCGAAUCUCAUCAAACCUGGCCUCAGUUCAGAUUGCAGGCUGCAACUCGCCUGCAUGAAGGAGGAAUCGCUAGUAAUCGCAGGUCAGCAUACUGCGGUGAAUCCGUUCCCGGGCCUUGUACACACCGCCCGUC
rnacentral:rRNA from 1 species